UUUUACGGAGAGUUUGAUCCUGGCUCAGGACGAACGCUGGCGGCGUGCUUAACACAUGCAAGUCGAGCGGUAAGGCCUUUCGGGGUACACGAGCGGCGAACGGGUGAGUAACACGUGGGUGAUCUGCCCUGCACUCUGGGAUAAGCUUGGGAAACUGGGUCUAAUACCGGAUAUGACCGCAUGCCGCAUGGUG
rnacentral:rRNA from 1 species